UCAUUUUGAAGUUUUUCUUCUGCAGUUUGAAAUAAUGUAAAUUCAGAAAUUAUUCUGUGCAUUUAUUAUCAUGACUUAGUGGAUUGGACAAAAAUGACAGAUUAACUAUUGUGAUUUCAGGAAAAUUUGCCUAAGAAUAUAUGUUUCCUCCAUUGAAUUUUUUUUGUUUUGCAUACUUCAUUCGCAUAGGAUUUUUCAACAAAAUAUUGAAAAUAUGCUUUGAAGUAUUAAUGCAUUGCAAAAAACAAAUAAUCCAUCAAAUAAAUUUUAGUCGGAUAUUCAUAAGAAUAUCCUUUUCAUUUUCCUUACAAAUUUUAUUAAGUCUGAUGCAGACAUUUUGUAGUCAAAGCAUUUCAACUGAGGUACUACACAGGCGUCAAAAGGCGUCAUUAUGGAGUAAAGGGGGUAGCGUCAAAAGGCGUCAUUAUGGAGGAAAGGGAUAAGAUAUCAGAAAGUAAGUUCUUACGAUUGCCAUACUCACCCUUUUGUGUUUUUGCAAUAAUGUAAACAGCGCAAUAGUUUCUGAGUUUACAGUAUAUUAAACAUGUAUUUGAACAUGUCUGUUUUGCAAGUUUGGAGUUGGAGCAGUAAUGAGACAAAACACAGUUUUACUAAAUAAUUUAUAUACAUAAUGUGAGUUUCUGGGAUAUGGAAGUGUCAGUAUAUAAUAGACUUACAUAAAUUGGUGUUAAUACUCAUGUAAGCAUGUAUGUAUAUAUGUAUUAUUAUAAAUUUAGAUUAUGAGUAUGCAUGUCACUUGCUUCUAGUGAUAUAUCCAUGCACAGGUAUUCUAAUUCCUCAAAAGUAUACUAUUCCAUAGCACAACAUACAUUGGGUAAAUGUUGUGCUAAGAAAGAAUAAAGUUGUGUGAGUGCAGAAAAAAUGUGUUGGAGAGUGUGUUAGAAAAAAGAAACCUUUGAAAUGAUAAAUGGUUAUGAUUUUGACUUUAUCUAAUAUCAUAGUUAUUUAAACUAGUCCUAAUUGAAAUAUAGAAAAUUCUGGUAAUUUUCUGUGGAUGAUGCCAUUUCUGCCUGACAUAUCCAGGAGCGUAUCACCAGCCAAGUAGAACACUUUGGUGUUGACAUAAAAUAUCAUUGAUUUGUCCUUUUUCUACAAAUUUAAUGUUUUUCAUAUGUUAAUUUUUUCCCAAACAUUUACAUUUUUCCUACCCCAGGAAAAUAUAGCUUUAACGGAAUAACAGAAUUAGGUACAUUUUGAGUUCUUAUAAAUCAAUUCAUUUUGUUAAGUUUAUGAUCAGACUAAUGGAUGAUAUUAUCACUCAAUAUUGUUAAGAUCACAAACAAUUUGGAGCAGUGCCAUUGAAAAGUGUUUCAUGUUUCUUAGUGAUACAACAGAAUUUUAGAGAGAACAAUUGUUUUUAUUAUUACAAGAAAUAUAUACUGUUUUCAGCCAUUCCUUAACAAGUUUCAUAUGCAGAUAUUGAUAAGGUUUUCUGAUGAUGUAGAUGAUUUUCCAGAAUUGACUGAAACAAGCGAUUUUUAGGUUCUUAAAAGUGUAAUGGAUAUAGGGGUUUAUUUAUGGAGGUUUAAGAAAAAUCAGUAAACUAUAUUCAUUUUUUAGGUCUAUGAAAUGUGAAUGCUUUCACUCAUUGGCCUUUUUCUGAAAUAGCAAUACAAGGACUAUUUUAAUGGCUGUGAAAAUAAGAUGUUAUGAAAAUAAUUUGGGGUUGAUUUAUACCCAGUGGCAUUAAACAGGGCUACUCAAUUCAGAACGACAGAUGUGAAAUAAUAUUGGCUACCAGGAUAAAAAAAAAGUGGCUCUAGAUAUCUUAGCGAUGUGAAUUUACUGGCAUGUUCAUUUCCUUGACAUGCAGUUUUAAAUGAAAUAAUAGAAGUGUGCUGAUGGCAAUAUCUUAUAAAUACAAUAGUAUAUGGUGGAUUGAUAUAGAUGUAUGAGUGAUUGUUGUCGAGCCUGCAACUUUUGUUGCAGAAAGCUCGACAUAGGGAUAGUGAUCUGGCGGCGGCGGCGGCGGCGGCGUUAGCUAACUUCUUAAAAGCUUUAUAUUUUAGAAGGUGGAAGACCUGGAUGCUUCAUACUUUGUAUAUAGAUGCCUCAUGUUACGAAGUUUCCGUCAGUCACAUGUCCAAUGUCCUUGACCUCAUUUUCAUGGU
rnacentral:lncRNA from 1 species